rnacentral:ncRNA from 1 species
UAGAGCCCUAUGAUGGGAAACUAUCACCUACGGUUUUGAAUGGGAGGGGGAAAUGGUGACAUCUCUCUCGACCCCUAAU